rnacentral:rRNA from 1 species
ACUCAAAUGAAUUGACGGGGACCUGCACAACCAGUGGAUUAUGUGGUUUAAUUCGAGACGAAACGAAGGACCUUACCCAGGUUUGACAUGCUACUGUUUACGAUUUCAGAAACGAAGUCGGAUCUAUUUACUUAGAAGGUAGCACAGGUGUUGCAUGGCUGUCGUCAGCUCGUGCCGUGGGGUGUUCCCUUCAGUGGGGUAACGAGCGCAACCCCUAUCGUAAGUUGAAUAUUCUUACGAGACUAUCCCGCUUUGCGGGAAGGAAGCGGGGACGACGUCAAGUCAGCAUGGCCCUUAUAUCUGGGGCGACACACAUAAUACAAUGAAGCCGACAGAGGGUUGCCAAGUGGUAACACGGAGCUAAUCCCAAAAACGGCUUCUCAGUGGGGAUUGGGGGCUGCAACUCGCCCCCAUGAACGCGGAAUUGGUAGUAAUCGCAAAUCAGCUAAGUUGCGGUGAAUACGUUCUCGGGUCUUGUACACACCGCCCGU